UUUUUGUCUAUGUUUUUUGAUGUUUUUAGUGAUAAGCCAGGGGACAAUUCAGAAGUGGGUAAGGUGCAAUAAGACUUUAUCAUACACAUACACUGUUACAGACGUCAUUGACAUACACAAAGAGCUCAUGAAAAGGGGAUUUCGGGCGCUUAUUUAUAGUAGUGAUCAUGAUAUGCUCAUCCCGUACGUGGGAAUUCAAGCCUGGAUUGAUAUACUAAAUCUGACGAUUUCUCAAGAUUGGCAUGCGUGGUUCGUUGAUGGACAAGUUGCCGGGUAUGCCACGCUAUAUUCUUACUUUCCAUCCCUUCUCACAUAUGCAACCGUCAAG